UGCUUCAAGAAUUAUUCCUGACAACAAAUUGGAAAAGAAUAUUAUGGUUGAAAGUUUUAAAAUAUUCAGAUUUAUUAUGAAUGAAAAAAUAGGUAACUUUAACUUUGCCUGAAUGAAAGAAAUUCUCUUUUCCACGCAUGAAUUCACCCUAUGGUUUGUCCCUUAUAAGAAACGGACUACGAUAAGAAAUCCUUGAAUUGAGGUCCUCGUGAUGCAGGAUUCAGACACGAUACACAUAAAUGCAGACAUCACCAUGAAAAGGCUAUUACCAAGUAUGCAGAAUUUCCUCAAACAAGACGCUGAAAAUGGUUUACCAUCAACCUUCUGCGCUGAGUGGAAUAUUCGAAAUUCAAAGCUUAUGGCACACGGUAGCCUUUUCCGGAAUGUCACCAAUAUUAACACGAUAGGAACACCCAAUCAGGACAUCAACUAUAUCUAGACUUCGUCAGUUCUUAUCGGCUGUGAUGGAGAUUGCUUUGAAGGUUCAACAUUGGCAAGUUUAGUUUAGUUUUCAUUAAUCUAAAUGAAAAUCAAUUGUUAAAACAGAAUGAUCAAUAUGUAUUAAGGUGUUUGAAGUAGAUAAGUGAUGUUUACCAACCAUUUUUCUGAUGCUUACCAGCUACUUGUAUCAGCCCUAGUAUAAUACGAUAUUGAGGUAUUUGUCACUUUCAUAUGCCAAAAGAAAUAUCGAGUUUUCGAUUUCUAUCAGAUUCAUGUUAGUACUUUAACUGAAACAAUGAAGUUCUUUAAAAUUUUUGUACAACUUGAGUAAUCGAAUUAUACUUGAAAAUUAUUUAAAGUAUUUAAAUUUUGAAAGCAAUGCAGAUCCUAUAAUCAACCAAUUUGCACAAUGUAGUUAGAUACAUUUUCGAUUGUACCAUUAAUGUCCUCUAGAAGAUGGGCUGAAAUCAUAUCAGUUUACCUUAUGCAAGUGUAUGAUUCAACUGAAGCACAUCCGCAUUUAAUAACAUUAGAAUAUAAUGAUCUGACACAUUUUAUUCGUCAAUAGUUUUCGAUGCAUAUCGCAAGCAAAUGUCGUCUUCCAAACAAUGAUAUACAUACAAAUCUUGAAUUCCCCCACUUGUGGAACAAAUUCUGAAACAAAUGUUAACUUCCAUUUUCUCUAAUAAACAUAACCUAAUAUUUGACACAGUCAACCGGCCAAAGAACAUCUAUGAAAUUCUUGGUGCUACUCAUAUGAAAACCAGAAUACUUGGUCCUCCUAAGUUUUAACAAGUUUCCUCCAAAAUUGGAUUAUUUUUCUGAGAAUAAAUGGCGUCCAUUAUUCGUUCUAAACUCUUUAUCAAAUCUUAUUUUGAAUCAAUUUCUUGAGAAAUCAUUUCAGGUGAUUUUACAUUCACUUGAAUUUUAAUUUCUUAUUCAUUGCCUGUUUUCUAUUAGUUAUGCCAAUUUGUUGCUUUGCCGGAUGUUUUCCCAAUCCGCAGUGCAUCUUUUAGCAAGGGAUAGUGUAAUCUCGAGUAGCUUCUGUCAACUCUGUUGCUUAUAGCAUUUGUCAUCGACAAGCUCGCUGACGAAGUCGGCGAUUUAAGCCGAGCUUUAGCAUCUAUUGUUUCAGCAACUCCACCUAGGGCCAAGAAUAUGUCUUAUGUGUUACAGCCCUUCUCAAGGGGCGGACUUCAUUCAUACGUUUCAUUCACUCAUCCACAAACUGUAAUUUAGACCUGAAUCCGAACGUUCACCUAUGAUCUAGUUCCCCCAGUGGUAUUGUGGACUUUGUAGCUUAGGCAGACUUAUACGUGCACCAGCCAUAUUGUACACGCCGUCUUCGGCCGGCGGUGUUCCAACUCGUAACCCAAAAGAUGCCGAUCCAACGCCCUACCAGCCAGAAUUUCAUGAAAAAUUGAAUCUCAUUUUCUUCAGAUCCCUCUGCACAAUUAUUUCGAAUAGAUUAUUGCUGAAGACAAUUCAUGAUAUAUGUUUGCAGAUUGGGAUACUGGAUUUCUUGACAUUUUGUUCAACUGUCUUGCUUCAAGUGAUUAAAAAUACAUGGAAAAGUAAGAUAUAUCAAUUUUUUGAGAUUCCCAUAUUUCACAACUGAAGUGUUAAAUACUGCCAGUCCUUUGGACUUCUGUGGUAUGUCUGGUUACUAUUGUGUAGGAUGCAACAUUCUUGAUGGAUAAUAAUUAUAAAAGCGGUAUUUUAGAAACACUUCCACAUAAAUGUUUAGGAAUAAACAUACCUAGAGCUAAUCCUGAGAUUUCUAACGUUACAGGAAUAUUUUCUUUUACAUUAAACGUUACGCUUCGGACCCCAGUGUACAGUCUGAUUGCUAUUGUAAAGGAUGCAUCCUUCCUUAUGGCCGUAUAAUAGCAAAAACAUCCACAAUUGUUAAGAAUCAAACCUAGAUUUCUAAGCACUAAAAGGAAUGUUUGCAUCUCGUAUGAUAUGAUGCAGCUCAUUACUUUUUGGAAUUCAAAAAGGGAACAUCGUUUCUAGAAAAAUUAUGCAUCUGGAUUCUUUUUGCAGAAUCUCCAUACUUUUCAGUCUUGGCCUUUUCAGAAAAUUAACUUAUCUUCAGAUAUCAGAUUUUCAAUGUAUGUUGCAAAUUUCAUUUUAUAUGAAAUCCGAUUUUUGCAUUAUGGAAAGAUUCUAGGCUGACAGUGAAACUAAUACAAUAGCAAUUAAAGAUGGAACUUAGGAUUAAGAAUAAAUCAUUUUAAAACUGAUUUACUGAUAGUUAAAGCACGGAAAGCUGAUUCACAGCAAACUAGGUUUUAGAUAAUUAAAUCGUAUUUCAAAGCGUAAAGCUCUUCAGAAUUCUAUUGAGAUUAAAUUUUUCUGUAAAUUAACUUAACAAAAACUGAUAGACAAAAUU